UACGUAGGUGGCAAGCGUUGUCCGGAUUUACUGGGCGUAAAGAGCGCGCAGGCGGUCGUUCAAGUCGCGUGUGAAAGCCCCCGGCUCAACUGGGGAGGGUCACGCGAUACUGAUCGACUCGAAGGCAGGAGAGGGUAGUGGAAUUCCCGGUGUAGUGGUGAAAUGCGUAGAUAUCGGGAGGAACACCAGUGGCGAAGGCGACUACCUGGCCUGUUCUUGACGCUGAGGCGCGAAAGCUGAGGGGAGCAAACGGGG
rnacentral:rRNA from 1 species